UACUUCAUAGGGUUCCCGCCCGCGCUCCCGACGUGAUCGAUCUCGGUUCACCCAAAGAACUCGAAUCAUCGAAGGUGCCCGCAUCUUUUCCGCAUCGUCCAUCCUCCGAAGCUUCGAUCUUUCACACGGAAUCCGUCGUCGCUGAAGGGUUAUGGCUCGAUGGCUGUGGCUAAAGUUGUUGGUUUUGAUUGGAUUAUUUGCUUUUUCCGGGGGAAGAGAAAUUAAGAUCAAGUAUGAGGAUGAUGCUCCUCUCUACAAUCGUACGCUCGCCAAGAUACUCGUGGAAUAUGCUUCUGCUG